UACAGAGGGUGCGAGCGUUGUUCGGAAUUAUUGGGCGUAAAGGGCGCGUAGGCGGUGCGGUAAGUCACCUGUGAAAUCUCCUGGCUCAACUGGGAGCUUGCAGGCGAAACUGCCGUGCUGGAGUGUGGGAGAGGUGCGUGGAAUUCCUGGUGUAGCGGUGAAGUGCGUAGAUAUCGGGAGGAACACCUGUGGCGAAAGCGGCUCACUGGACCACAACUGACGCUGAGGCGCGAAAGCUAGGGGAGCAAACAGG
rnacentral:rRNA from 1 species